rnacentral:misc_RNA from 1 species
GAACGCACAUUGCGCCCCCUGGUAUUCCGGGGGGCAUGCCUAUUCGAGCGUCAUUAUCACCCCUCAAGCCUAGCUUGGUGUUGAGGCCUGCUGUCAAGGCAGCCUCUAAAAUCAGUGGCAGUGCUGUCAGGCUCUAAGCGUAGUAAAAUAAAUCGCUAUAGGGUCCUGGUGGACACUCGUCAGAACCCCCCCAUUUUUCAAUGAUUGACCUCGGAUUAGGUAGGGAUACCCGCUGAACUUAAG